UACGAAGGGGGCUAGCGUUGUUCGGAAUUACUGGGCGUAAAGGGCGCGUAGGCGGUGUGUCAAGUCAGGCGUGAAAGCCCCGGGCUCAACCUGGGAACAGCGCUUGAGACUGGCACGCUCGAGUUCGGGAGAGGAUGGUGGAAUUCCACGUGUAGCAGUGAAAUGCGUAGAGAUGUGGAGGAACACCGAUGGCGAAGGCAGCCCCCUGGGUUAACACUGACGCUCAGGCACGAAAGCGUGGGGAGCAAACAGG
rnacentral:rRNA from 1 species